rnacentral:rRNA from 1 species
AACGUAGGAGACGAACGUUAUCCGGAGUUACUGGGCGUAAAGGGCGUGUAGGCGGUUUGUUAAGUCUGGCGUGAAAGCUCUCGGCUAAACCGGGAGAGGUCGUUGGAUACUGGCGAACUAGAGGAUGGUAGAGGCGUGUGGAAUUCCGGGUGUAGUGGUGAAAUGCGUAGAGAUCCGGAGGAACACCAGUGGCGAAGGCGGGCACCUGGGCCAAUACUGACACUAAGACGCGAAAGUCAGGGGAGCAAACAGG